GAUGGACACACAGGACCUUCACUGUCCUUUAGAGCUCUGGGCAAAAAAGGAACAGAGGAGCUUUCAACUCUGAGUGGCAAAGAAUGAAGACAAAAGUUGUGUGAAGGAAAUCAGGUUUGUUUUCUUAGAGACCUUCCAGCCUCUCCAAGACUAUUCUCAUUUCUCAUCACACAGACACAAUGGUGAUUCCCAAAAGAGAAUGUCAGUGGUGUUGGGCUGCCACAGAGAGCCAGGAAAUACGCCAAGGAGGAGUUGCUGGAAAGAGUCAAUGCUUGCAGCAAUAAAAUGAGAGAAAAAGAAAGUCUAAAUCUAUAAUAGAAAAUAUUCCUCUAAGCAGUCAAAUCUUUGAGAAAGAAUGGUUCUAAUGUGGUACACACUAUGUGACCAGUAUUUGCAUCUCUGGCUCUCCUGCCCACUUGAGCCAAGCGUGUCCCAGAUCCUUACCUCUACAAUUUAGUGCACUCUUGUGAAGAACGGACCUUUUCAAACUCUGACAUACCAGGUCCUCUCCAGAUUCCCAGGCUCAGCCUGCUGGUGAGUUUCUCCAUGGCCUUGUCAAAUACAAAUAUAUGUAAUUCAACAAUUUAGAGUACCUUG